UUUUUCCCUCUUCUCUUUCACUUUCAUCAAGAGGCUCUUUAGUUUUUCUUCACUUUCUGCCAUAAGGGUGUUGUCAUCUGUAUAUCUGAGGUUAUUGAUAUUUCUCCUGGCAAUCUUGAUUCUAGCUUGUGCUUCCUCCAGCUCAGCAUUUCUCAUGAUGUACUCUGAAUAUAAGUUAAAUAAGCAGGGUGAGAAUAUACAGCCUUGACAUACUUCUUUUCCUAUUUAGAACCAGUGUGUUUGAGGGUAGGAUGGUCAUUUAAUUAGAAAAGACUGAAGCUUGUCAUCCUGUGAGCACAUAGCAGCAUCUUCAGGACUGACAGAUUGUCUCCGGUACCAUCUAACUGAGCAAGCCCGUAUAGAGAAUUUAUCCCCUAGGUUGACUGAGAAUUACAGAGGAGGAUGUAUCCGAGGCUUAGCAGAGUCAGUGUGCAGUGAAAAUUAGCUAUUGCUCUUGUUUGCCAUGACUUUCCAUUGUAAAAGGUGUCAUUUUAGUUUUGGGAGGAAUACAGAUAAGGUGAUAAAUACAGUUGCAUCAGAAAGGAGUUAGUUCUACCCUGAUGGUGAUUGGUUUAGAACAGUUUUACCUCUACCAGUGAUUAUAAAUUUAGGUGUGGAAACUACCGGAAUUAUGAUGAUGCCAGUUGGACCAAUGAAUUGAUCUAUCUGUCUAGCAUUUUGCAUUAUAUUAGAAUCAGGGAUCAUAGAGAAAAACAAUGAAUUCCAAAUUGCAUUUACAGGGAAGGUCAACUUAAAACUUAGUGAGAUAAAGCUCAGCAGAUACAAAUCAACUCACCUGUAAUAAGAAAACAAACAAAACAUCAAAUGUGAAAUGAGCAUGCUGCUUUGUUGGUUUAGAAAAAGAAUGAGAGGCCACGGUAUUCCAAAGCUUCAAAAAUGAGAUUAAAGUUUGUUAAGGGGAAGGGAAGGUGGGACAGUGAUGAUGUUUGCAUAUUGAGUUCUAGCCGCAACAUGAAAGAACCUCAACGUCAGACUAAAGUGCUCACCCUAAGUCAGUGUGGGCAAGGCAUCUAUUUGUUUUCAUGGAGCAGCUCCAACCUACCAUUGCACGUGGAGAGGGAAUUUGGAACUGUGGCUUUGUCCUCAAUAGGUGCUUCUUGGUAGAUUCUAACACGUGGCCAAGGCUGAGAACUACAGCUUUAUAAACUCAGCGCUGCCUUGACCAGAAUGGGACACUAAUACAUAUGAAGGCUGAAGAGUUUUGGCAGGUCCUAUACUUGACUUCGAUUAGAGGUAUGUCACAUGUUAGCUAGCUUUCACAUUGUAAAAGUAAUGUCUGUUUCCCUCCUUCAAGAUUUUAGUUGUGUUUACUGAAUAUGUAGAUUAGGUUUUGCAUCAGAUAUUGAUGUUCAGUCCUUAUUCUUAACAUAUUGACUCUGCCAUAUUUUCUCUCUUCUUCUAUCGGCCAAUUAAAUAGACCGGCUCUCCACUUUCCAGUCUUCUAUGAUUCUGAUUUUUCCUCUGCUAGUCCCUGGGCUUUUGUUGUCAGAUUCAUCCCUUGGUCUUUCCUCGCUCUGUUUUGGCUCAUGAGGUCACUGACCACUGCAAGCUUCAUAUCCCAAGUUCCCAGAAGUGAACUUCUGGGCAGGCGUGGCUGGUUUUGGCAAAUGGUGGUGAAAGCAUUGAUGCGCGUAGGUCAUUCCCACCUUCCUUAGGACACGUCUCUGGCGAUGACUGCAUUUGCUCUUUGACUUCAGCUCCUUCUGGGAAAGCAUGCUGUGCUUCCACCCAGGGCCCCUGGGGUCCAGCAACCCACAUCUUUCCUUUGAUCAUCUGGCUUGGGGGAAGAUUAUUGGCUUUUCUCUAUUGCUAAUCUCUGGAUUGUCUCACAUUUCCUGCUUGGACUCUCAGCUUUUCCUUACCGUAUAACCAGUUCCCAACAUCAAAUUCCUUAAAAAAAAACUUGGGUAAUUUUUGUUUUCCUGGUUGAAGCUUCUCUUUUCUAUUUUUUUUUUUUUUGUAAUCUACAGUUAUCAGACAUCUUAUUUUCAACCAUUUUCCAGCUCUUCAUCUGCAGUUAAAUUUGUCUAUUAAGUCCUUCAUUUCAAUUAUUUUAUAUUUCAUUUCUAAAACUUACAGUGAGCUCAUUUAAAAAUCUGACAUUACUUUUUUAUAGUUUCCAGUUUUGUAUUCCAAAUUUUCAAUUUAGAUCUUAUCUUCUUGAACAGAGUACACAUGGUUAUUUCAGAGUCUUUGAUAAUUUUUGUAUCUGAGUCCUCAGAGGUCUGCUUCCGUUGCUCAUGGUUUCUAAAAGCGCUUUCUCACGAUGGCUUAUCUCCCCAUGAGCCAAGUUAUCUCUGAUUUUAGGCUACACAUUUUGUUUAGAAAUUUUUAGUAGAAAUAAUAUGAGGCAUAGGAUAACAUUAUCUUCCUCUGGACACAUGUUUUUAAACUUCUGACAAUUUUUAACUAAAUCUGGGAUUAUUUUAAGCACUUUGGGCCAUCCAGAUGGUUUAAAUCUGAUCUUCAAGCUGUGAAUGAAAGGGAUGGUUUACUUCUGGUGUAUUCUGACUCUUAGGGAGCAAGUUUUAGAGUUCUAGACCAAGGUAGAAGUAGUAUUAAUAAAUCCAAGUCCUUACCAAUGGUGUGCCCCA
rnacentral:lncRNA from 1 species